rnacentral:rRNA from 1 species
UUCCGGUUGAUCCUGCCGGACCUUACUGCUAUCGGGGUGGGACUAAGACAUGCGAGUCGAGCGUCUCUAGCUAUGUUGAGACGCGGCAGACGGCUCAGUAACACGUGGCUAACCUACCCUCAGGACAAGGAUAAACCCGGGAAACUGGGGCUAAUACUUGAUAGGCGAAGAUGCCUGGAAUGGUUUUUCACCUAAAGGGCUUUAGAAACAUGCUUCUAAAGUCGCCUGAGGAUGGGGCCGCGUCCGAUCAGGUUGUUGGUGAGGUAACGGCUCACCAAGCCUAUAACCGGUACGGGCCGUGAGAGCGGUAGCCCGGAGAUGGGUACUGAGACAAGGACCCAGGCCCUACGGGGCGCAGCAGUCGCGAAAACUCCGCAAUGCACGAAAGUGUGACGGGGCUACCCCGAGUGCCAUCCGCUGAGGAUGGCUUUUCUUUGGUAUAACUAGCCAGGGGAAUAAGGAGAGGGCAAGACUGGUGUCAGCCGCCGCGGUAAUACCAGCUCUCCGAGUGGUAGGGAUGAUUAUUGGGCUUAAAGCGUCCGUAGCCGGCUUAGCAAGUCUCCUGUUAAACUCAGCGACCUAAUCGUUGAAUCGCGGGAGAUACUACUAGGCUAGGAGGCGGGAGAGGUCGACGGUACUUCUGGGGUAGGGGUGAAAUCCUAUAAUCCCGGGAGGACCACCAGUGGCGAAGGCUGUCGACUAGAACGCGCUCGACGGUGAGGGACGAAAGCUGGGGGAGCGAACCGGAUUAGAUACCCGGGUAGUCCCAGCCGUAAACGAUGCGGGCUAGGUGUUGGGAUGGCUACGUGCCAUCUCAGUGCCGCAGGGAAGCCAUUAAGCCCGCCGCCUGGGGAGUACGGCCGCAAGGCUGAAACUUAAAGGAAUUGGCGGGGGAGCACCACAAGGCGUGAAGCUUGCGGUUCAAUUGGAUUCAACGCCGGG